GGCAAGAAUACUGGAGUGGGUUGCCAUUACCUUCUCAAGGGCAUCUUCCCGACUCAGGGACUGAACGGGGGGUCUCCCUGAGCUGCAGGCAAAUUCUUUACCGUUUGAGUCACCAGGAAAGGCCCUGGUCCAGAGGAAACUGGGGCUAAAGCCUUACCUGCUGAGAUUUGACCAAGCCCACAACCCACCCAAGACCACCUGUCUGCAGGAGAAAGCAUGCACGCCUGGGACAAACGGUGUUCUGGGCUCUCCGGGUUCCACACCGGAGGACUCCACAGAAAUCCUGGAGAAAACUUGCUGUGCCGGAAGAGGAGACCAGAUGGUGCUGGAGGCGAUGGGCUCUGUUCCCUCUGUGGCCGCAGUGAUGCUGGUGGGGCUGUUCAGGGGUACCCAGCAGACAGGGGCCUGAUCAAUGAACAAACAUGCUGGGAAGGAAGAUCCGCAAGGUUUCACGUCAAAAGGAGCCAAUUAGUAUUCACCGACUGCUUGUUUGCACCAGGAUCUUUGCAGCGACAAUCUCACGUUACCCUCACUUGACUCCUGCGAGGGCAACAUCGGUGUACUCAUCUGACAAUUAUGUCACUUAGUCAGGGUCCCACAGCUAACCUUUGGCAGAACCAGGACUCAAACUCAGGUCUCUCCUGAACCCAAAGCUGAGCUCUGUCGACUCCCUGGAAGACACUAGAGAAAGGAGGGAGGCCACCCAGAGAGAGGGACCAGCACAGAAUCAGAGGCAUGAGAAUCCUGCAAGUCUGUUCCUCCUCCCCAACACUCUCACACCAGUCCCCCUCUUGCUUUCUUACACACCCACACACAUAUACACUCACACAUGCAAUGGGAAUAUUUAGAUAAUGCGUACAAGGUGCCCACGGAGUACAUGUCUAUUUCAUGCAUAUUGGAACAAUGGCAGUUGUUAUAAUAAUAACUAUAAAUGAUGUGUUUAUGAUAGUGAAAUAGUCAUAUGUCAAAGGUGAAGGAGGAGGCACAUAGGACAUAAGAGGGUAGGAGGGAGUGAUUUAAAAGGAAUGAAACUAUGGAGGUAAACCCAUGUGAUGCCACAAAGCCUGAAAGAAAAUUAUUAACAGCUUCCUUCAUUCAAACACUUUGCAAGCCCCUAUGUGACCCUCCCAACAGCCUGCUGAGGUGGUCAGGGCAGGGACUCUUAUGUCCAUCACAUAGGUGAGAAGUCUGUGGCUUAGAAAGGCUGAGUACCUUGUCCAAGGACACACAGCAGCCUGCUUUAGGAAUAGGAGUCAGGCCUCCUGCUCUGUCCACCAAGAGUAGAUGCCUUCAGGAAGAGAAGAGUCUGAAGAAUCUUUAAAGAUGGAAUGAAUUGGGAGAUUGGGGUUGACAUAUAUACACUAUUGAUACUGUGUAUAAAAUAGAGAGCUAGUGAGAACCUACUGUAUAGCCCAGGGAACUCUACUCAGUGCUUUGUGGUGACCUA